GACGAACGCUGGCGGCGUGCUUAACACAUGCCAGUCGAACGGAAAGGCCCUGCUUGCAGGGUACUCGAGUGGCGAACGGGUGAGUAACACGUGGGUGAUCUGCCCUGCACUUCGGGAUAAGCCUGGGAAACUGGGUCUAAUACCGGAUAGGAGCCAUUUUUAGUGUGAUGGUUGGAAAGUUUUUUCGGUGUAGGAUGAGCUCGCGGCCUAUCAGCUUGUUGGUGGGGUAAUGGCCUACCAAGGCGGCGACGGGUAGCCGGCCUGAGAGGGUGGACGGCCACAGUGGGACUGAGAUACGGCCCAGACUCCUACGGGAGGCAGCAGUGGGGAAUAUUGCACAAUGGGCGCAAGCCUGAUGCAGCGACGCCGCGGGGGGGAUGACGGCCUUCGGGUUGUAAACUCCUUUCGCUAGGGACGAAGCUUUUUGUGACGGUACCUAGAUAAGAAGCACCGGCUAACUACGUG
rnacentral:rRNA from 1 species